rnacentral:lncRNA from 1 species
AUGUAGAAGGGAAUAUUGCUUGCUGCGAUCCCAUAGUGAAGAUCGUGUCAUUGAUCGAAAAGCUGUGAUUCAGUUCGGCAGCAACCACUGUCUGAUUCAGGGGAUUCACUGUGUGGUAAAAUGCAGCUCUCAGAGUGUUCAGCUUGUCAUUUCUGCAUAUUUGGCAACUUCGCUAUUUAGAUAACUAAAAUCAUAUUUUAGCUAACAGAAAUCGUGACUAUUUUCUGAAUUGGGAUUGCUCACAGGGUCACGGAAGCUACAACGGAAGAGAAUCUGAGGCUUAGACCAGCAUCAAAUCUGUUAAAUGUUUUUGCUGAUACGUCGUACACAAGAUCGGCGCCAAGAGAAAUAGGAGUGCUUCCUACCACCCCUGAAAAGCUUAUAAUCGGGUCAUA